CUGUAGAUGUUAUUUUCUGUGCAAAUGCAAGCGUCUAUUGAUAACGAAACGAUAAUUUGUCAACAAUGAGAAUCAGAUACUUGGCUUAAUAAUUUUCAUUUAAAAUGUCUAAUUUGGAUAUAAUUCGGAAUACAAAACGAAACUUAAAAGGUAUUUAAAACAACAACGUUCAAAAGAACAAUGUGGAUUUCAAUAGAAAGACUAUUUCCACCGACAAUCAGGAUUUCCGGUAUGACCACUGUUAUUUUGACGAUUUUUCUAUCGGUUCGUCGGUAAGCGUGACCACAUGUGACAACAGCGAUGCUAGUUGGAUAUAAAAUUGGUAGACGUGUCGUUGAACUCGACACAUUGACCGAAUCGCUUUUAGCAUGCAGUGCUUGUCAAGUGCCCAUGAAUUUACUUAACACUGUAGAAAACAUGGAUUUCGGACAGGCAUGUGUUUUGGACAUACAGUUUAGCAAUUGUGGUGCAGUAAAUAAUGCGGCUACUGGACGGAAACAUGGCAGAGUUUAUGACAUGAUCACAAAGCUUGCAUUUGGGUAAAUCAAAAACUGGGUGUUUCACCUGGGACUUUCACAUCGAAACUGGCCCUUCUCCAUGACCUUCAGCACAAAAAAAGAAAGGCUAUAGCUGUUACUCGUGCAGCAAAACAGUGACGCAUAAGACUUAAAACUCGAACGGCAUUCAAAGGACAGUGCAAGAAGUAAGAGCGGGACCAACAUACAGUUCAAACAUAGAGGACCAAGACGUUGAAGUUACAACUAUCCCCCCACCUAUACCCAAGCCUGGUCCAGCAGGGCUAGACACUACUGGGAAGGAAUUUGUUUUCUUUGAUUUGGAAACAAGAGGGUUAGGUAAAGUUUAUUUUUAACAUAUUCCUUAUUCACAGUGUUGCACACACAGAAGUUUAUCUUGGUCCAAUUCAGGUAUUUAGGUACUCUAAAUCUCCAAAGUUGAACUUCUAUUAAAAAAUAUACAUAUUUACUUACAUGUAUAACAUAAUUCAACCUGCUACUGCUGAGUAACUCAAUGUGUAAGAGAUAUCGUGUGAAUUGUUGGUCAACCUAGCAUAUGAUUGAAUUGCAACAAGAGUUAUGUUCAGACUAAUUUCUCAUUUUGCUUUCAUAUAAUACAUCAUUCUUAAUCUUUAUUGAUAAAAUGAUAGUAAAUACCACUUAGAUGAUGCAAUGUUACAUUACCCACAACUGGCUUUAGUACAUUAUUGUGCAUCAUUUAAGAAUUUAAACACUCUUCUCUUCGCUUCUUCAGAUUUAUGAAUACAUAAGAUCAUUAGAUGCCAACAACUUACUUUGAUAUAUCCAUGAAUGGAAGAAAAGAGCGUUUCAAUUUUCAUAAUAACAGUUAUUAUGCCCCCCUUGGAAGAGAGAGUUAAUAUUGUUUUGCUGGAUGUUUGUCUGUGGGUAGAUCAUUAAGUUUCCGAUCAAUAAUUUGUCAACUUUUUCACUGAUUGGCUUUUUACUCUCCAUGUGCAUAGGGAUUGGACAGUAUAUAACCCCCAUUUAAAUUAUGGUCACUUAGUCAAAGGUCACAAUAAGUGUGAAAAUUGUUUCCGAUCAAUAACCCUUCAACUGAAAAUUCUCUUAAACCACAAUGCAUAGAGAAUGAAUGUGAAGGAACCUCUUCUACGAUUGUUCACAUUAAGCUUAAAAAAAAGUCCUGUCCUGG